UUCCGUAGGUGAACCUGCGGAAGGAUCAUUACAGAGUUCAUGCCCGAAAGGGUAGACCUCCCACCCUUGUGUAUUAUUACUUUGUUGCUUUGGCGAGCUGCCUUCGGGCCUUGUAUGCUCGCCAGAGAAAACCAAAACUCUUUUUAUUAAUGUCGUCUGAGUACUAUAUAAUAGUUAAAACUUUCAACAACGGAUCUCUUGGUUCUGGCAUCGAUGAAGAACGCAGCGAAAUGCGAUAAGUAAUGUGAAUUGCAGAAUUCAGUGAAUCAUCGAAUCUUUGAACGCACAUUGCGCCCCUUGGUAUUCCGGGGGGCAUGCCUGUUCGAGCGUCAUUUCAACCCUCAAGCUUAGCUUGGUAUUGAGUCUAUGUCAGUAAUGGCAGGCUCUAAAAUCAGUGGCGGCGCCGCUGGGUCCUGAACGUAGUAAUAUCUCUCGUUACAGGUUCUCGGUGUGCUUCUGCCAAAACCCAAAUUUUCUAUGGUUGACCUCGGAUCAGGUAGGGAUACCCGCUGAACUUAAGCAUAUCAAUAAGCGGAGGAA
rnacentral:rRNA from 1 species